rnacentral:rRNA from 1 species
UACGAAGGGGGCUAGCGUUGCUCGGAAUCACUGGGCGUAAAGGGUGCGUAGGCGGGUUUUUAAGUCAGAGGUGAAAUCCUGGAGCUCAACUCCAGAACUGCCUUUGAUACUGAAAGUCUUGAGUAUGGGAGAGGUGAGUGGAACUGCGAGUGUAGAGGUGAAAUUCGUAGAUAUUCGCAAGAACACCAGUGGCGAAGGCGGCUCACUGGCCCAUACUGACGCUGAGGCACGAAAGCGUGGGGAGCAAACAGG